CAAGUCGUACGCGGUGGCUUGCCACCGAGUGGCGAACGGGUGCGUAACACGUGAGGAACCCACCCCGACGUGGGGGAUAACACCGGGAAACCGGUGCUAAUACCGCAUGUGCUCCCCUGACCGCAUGGUCGAGGGAGCAAAGCCUUCGGGCGCGACGGGACGGCCUCGCGGCCUAUCAGCUUGUUGGUGGGGUAACGGCCCACCAAGGCGACGACGGGUAGCUGGUCUGAGAGGACGAUCAGCCACACUGGGACUGAGACACGGCCCAGACUCCUACGGGAGGCAGCAGUGGGGAAUAUUGCGCAAUGGGCGAAAGCCUGACGCAGCAACGCCGCGUGGAGGACGAAGGCCUUCGGGUUGUAAACUCCUUUCAGCAGGGACGAAACUGACGGUACCUGCAGAAGAAGCCCCGGCUAACUACGUGCCAGCAGCCGCGGUAAGACGUAGGGGGCGAGCGUUGUCCGGAUUUACUGGGCGUAAAGAGCUCGUAGGCGGCUUGGCAAGUCGGAUGUGAAAUCACCAGGCUCAACCUGGUGUCGCCAUCCGAUACUGCCAUGGCUUGAGUCCGGUAGAGGAUCGUGGAAUUCCUGGUGUAGCGGUGAAAUGCGCAGAUAUCAGGAGGAACACCAAUGGCGAAGGCAGCGAUCUGGGCCAGUACUGACGCUGAGGAGCGAAAGCGUGGGGAGCGAACAGGAUUAGAUACCCUGGUAGUCCACGCCCUAAACGUUGGGCACUAG
rnacentral:rRNA from 1 species